GGCACAGCUCAGUGGCAGAGCAUCUCUUUUGCACACAGAAGGUUCCAGGUUCAGUCCCUGUGUCAGAAGUGAGCCA